GCAGAGGCUGGUUUAAUUUUGAGGCAGAGGGAAGACCUUUUGACUAAGGUAAGUUACGAGUUAAGUAAAUUACGAAGAGACUCCUAAUGCAAAGGAAGAGGAUUUCUGGUAGCAGAACUCCUGCAUGAGAUCUCUUAACAUGUGAAUAAGUGGGACUCUUCUCAGGAAUACAAUUGGUAGACCAACUGUGGCUGGAGAGGGAAGAGAGUGUGGACCAAGUCCAGAGAGGUGAGCAAGACCAGUUCAUGUAGCUGGUUCACUAGAGCCAGAGGUGGGCUAAAGGCAGCUCAUGCAAACUCUCAUGAGAUAAUAUUUCAACUAUUUUGUGAGCCUAUUGCUGAACACAACCAUGAUUAAAAAGCAAAUAAUGUGAACUUGCAAUUUUAUUAAAUUUUAUUAAAAACAAACAUAAUAAAUACUCAAAAAUCCAUUACUUUCUAAUUAUUUUACUACAUUUUAUUACUACCUAAGCUCUUAAGGUUAUUUAUGCCUGAUGAAAUUUAGUAAAAAUAUUACAUAAUAAUAAGCUACUGCACAUCUCUUGCCAAAUGUGUCUUUAGCGACAUCAUGUGGGUAGUUUGACAUCAGUCACACUGUGAACCUUUACAGCAUGGAAAUCAGAUCACACUAUGAAUCACAGCUGUUUGCUUGGUGCAGCAGGUUUUCCAGGUUGCUAAGUAUUCACCGCCAUCCCACUGUAGGGUUGAAGCCAGAUGCCUCAAAAGGCAGGUCCAGGACAUCACUCAGGAAUUGAAGACACUUAGGGACGAAGCACUGGCUAACAGAAGAGGGACACUGAAUCCAGGUAGAGAAGGGGGAAAAGAAUGAGAUGAAUAUAUAUUUCACACCUAGGUAUUUGUUCAAGACCUCAUUGCAAAUUGCUUUCUGCAAUUUGGCAAGAUAGGAUUUCAGGAUUUCUACUGUAUGGAUGAGGAGUCCAAGAUAUCAUGGUCUUGUGAGACAGGAAACAAAAGACAUGAGAUGGUAAGGUUAGGGUUGAAAAAUCCCAUUAUCCUCUCCCUCUGACUCUCAAGGGAAAACCAAGUAGUGGAGAGAGUGGCAAAAACACCACUGUCCACUCAGAGACCACUGGUGGUCUGACCAUUUGAAAUCCUGGGUCCUGGUGGCUGCAGCCGUCAUCCAUCUAGCAGACCUUCUGGAGAGCAUAAAUAGAGGCACGUGGCCCUCCAUGCUCGGUUUCUUGGUAAGAACAGACCUGACCUUGGGUAUGCCCUCUUUCUCUAAUUCCUCUUUCUUUCUCACCAGAGUAAGCCGCUAACUGAACUCUAAGGUGAAAGAUGUACUUGGAGGACUAGAAGUGAGUGAGAUUCAUCCAUGCAACCUAAAAAUAUUUAUUCAGCUCUUGCUCAGGCAGGACUUGAUUUAAGUGGCAGAGAUACAACUGUCUCCCUCAGUGAGCGUUCUUUUUAGGAAAUGUACAUUAAUUGAAUUACAGGAACACAUUCAAAUUUAUAAUCAUAACAAGUGCCAUAAAAGAGAUGUAUAUCAUGCCCUAAAAACUUUACCAGGAAGUGUUUGCAGUCUAAGGAUAUGAAGUGGAAAAUAACUAGAUGAAAGGGGAAAGGAAGAAUCUGGCUCUUUUGAAAGUUUCCAGGCAACAGGAGCAGCAUGAUCAAAGGUCAUGUGGGACAAAUGAUGAGGAACACAGUUGAAGAUGCGCCUGGAGAGCUAGGAAGAGCAAGACCAUUUGAGGCCUUGUAGACGUGAUAAGGGGCUUUAAUCUUUACCUGGAAAGAUUCAAGAAGCUGUUGAAAUGUGUAAUCAGGAUGGCUCCAUGAGAUCUGCCUUUUGACAAGUCCACCCUGACUGCAUCAUGGGAAGUGGAGUGAAUGCAAGAGCAUUCAAGAGUGAUUGCCCUUUUCCCAGUGGGAAAUGGUAACAGGAGCUUGAGCUAAAGUAGCACUGAUAAUGGAGAUGAAGAAAAGGGGAUGGAUUUGAGAAAGACGUAGAAGAUUGAAAACAGGAGUCAAAAAAAAAAAAAAACAGAAGUCAACUUAAAUAUGAGAUACUUA